rnacentral:rRNA from 1 species
UGGGGAAUAUUGCACAAUGGGCGAAAGCCUGAUGCAGCGACGCCGCGUGGGGGAUGAAGGCCUUCGGGUUGUAAACCUCUUUCAGCAGGGACGAAGCGUGAGUGACGGUACCUGCAGAAGAAGCGCCGGCUAACUACGUGC